AGCGGCGAACGGGUGAGGAACACGUGAGAAAUCUGCCUUCAACACUGGGAUAACUCCGGGAAACCGGGGCUAAUACCGGAUAUGAAAUCUGCGGGCAUCCGCGGAUUUGGAAAGUUUUUCGGUUGAAGAUGAUCUCGCGGCCUAUCAGCUUGUUGGUGAGGUAAUGGCUCACCAAGGCGACGACGGGUAGCCGGCCUGAGAGGGCGACCGGCCACACUGGGACUGAGACACGGCCCAGACUCCUACGGGAGGCAGCAGUGGGGAAUAUUGGGCAAUGGAGGAAACUCUGACCCAGCGACGCCGCGUGCGGGAUGAAGGCCUUCGGGUUGUAAACCGCUUUCAGCAGGGAAGAAGCGAAAGUGACGGUACCUGCAGAAGAAGCACCGGCUAACUAUGUGCCAGCAGCCGCGGUAAUACAUAGGGUGCAAGCGUUGUCCGGAAUUAUUGGGCGUAAAGAGCUCGUAGGUGGUUCGUCACGUCGGAUGUGAAACUCUGGGGCUUAACCCCAGACCUGCAUUCGAUACGGGCGAGCUUGAGUAUGGUAGGGGAGUCUGGAAUUCCUGGUGUAGCGGUGGAAUGCGCAGAUAUCAGGAGGAACACCAAUGGCGAAGGCAGGACUCUGGGCCAUUACUGACACUGAGGAGCGAAAGCGUGGGGAGCGAACAGGAUUAGAUACCCUGGUAGUCCACGCCGUAAACGGUGGGCACUAGUUGUGGGGACCUUCCACGGUCUCUGCGACGCAGCU
rnacentral:rRNA from 1 species